rnacentral:rRNA from 1 species
GUAAGGAAUAUUGGUCAAUGGACGCAAGUCUGAACCAGCCAUGCCGCGUGAAGGAUGACGGCCCUCUGGGUUGUAAACUUCUUUUAUGUGGGACGAAAAAAGGGAAUUCUUUCCCGUCUGACGGUACCAUACGAAUAAGCACCGGCUAACUCCGUGCCAGCAGCCGCGGUAAUACGGAGGGUGCAAGCGUUAUCCGGAUUCACUGGGUUUAAAGGGAGCGCAGGCGGAUUUGUAAGUCAGUGGUGAAAGGCUUAAGCUUAACUUGGGAACUGCCAUUGAUACUAUAAGUCUUGAAUGUUGUUGAGGUUUGCGGAAUGGGUCAUGUAGCGGUGAAAUGCAUAGAUAUGACCCGGAACACCUAUUGCGAAGGCAGCAGGCUAAACAAAUAUUGACGCUGAGGCUCGAAAGCGUGGGGAUCAAACAGGAUUAGAUACCCCAGUAGUCC